GAUGAACGCUGGCGGCGUGCCUAACACAUGCAAGUCGAACGGAAAGGCCCUGCUCUUGCGGGGUGCUCGAGUGGCGAACGGGUGAGUAACACGUGUGUAACCUGUCCCUGACUUUGGGAUAACUUCAGGAAACUGCGGCUAAUAUCGGAUAGGAGCUCCUGCUGCACGGUGGGGGUUGGAAAGUUUCGGCGGUUGGGGAUGGACUCGCGGCUUAUCAGCUUGUUGGUGGGGUAGUGGCUUACCAAGGCUUUGACGGAUAGCCGGCAUGAGAGGGUGGCCAGCCACAUGAGGACUAAGGGACGGACCAGUCGCCUACGGGAGGCAACAGUGGAGAGUAUUGCGCAGUGGGCGGGAGCCUGAUGCGGCAGCGCCGCGUGCGGGAUAACGGCCUUCGAGUUGUGAACCGCUUUCGCCUGUGACGAGGCGUGAGUGACGGUAAUGGGUAAGAAAGCACCGGCUAACUACGUG
rnacentral:rRNA from 1 species